GAUGAACGCUGGCGGCGUGCCUAAUACAUGCAAGUCGAGCGAACAGAUAAGGAGCUUGCUCCUUUGACGUUAGCGGCGGACGGGUGAGUAACACGUGGGUAACCUACCUAUAAGACUGGGAUAACUUCGGGAAACCGGAGCUAAUACCGGAUAAUAUUUCGAACCGCAUGGUUCGAUAGUGAAAGAUGGUUUUGCUAUCACUUAUAGAUGGACCCGCGCCGUAUUAGCUAGUUGGUAAGGUAGCGGCUUACCAAGGCGACGAUACGUAGCCGACCUGAGAGGGUGAUCGGCCACACUGGAACUGAGACACGGUCCAGACUCCUACGGGAGGCAGCAGUAGGGAAUCUUCCGCAAUGGGCGAAAGCCUGACGGAGCAACGCCGCGUGAGUGAUGAAGGUCUUCGGAUCGUAAAACUCUGUUAUUAGGGAAGAACAUACGUGUAAGUAACUGUGCACGUCUUGACGGUACCUAAUCAGAAAGCCACGGCUAACUACGUG
rnacentral:rRNA from 1 species